AGGUCUGCCUUUUCCAGUCUCAACCUGUCUACUUCCAGGAUUUCUUUUUCCAAUUUACUGUAUUUUUCUUUUAGUUCUGAUAGCUCAUUUCUGAGGUUGAGAUUUUCUUGUGCUAUGGCUAUGGAUUGAGCAUGCGCUUCUUCUAAUUCCUUGGCCUUUUGUUGCUCGAAUUCCACGGUCAUUUUGAGCCUCCGUAUUUCUGCUUCACAAUGAUUAAUAAAAUCUUGUUGUGUUUGAAGCAAGUUUCUGGGUUCAUACCUUGGAGGUUCUUCCAUCAUGACAGGUGUUCUUUUGUCAAAGUAGUAUAUACUGCACAUUCCGCAAGAGGUGAUUUUGCAUAGAGGACAAUGCCUCCUAUGUCUCCUUUGUGAUUUUCUUUUACAGCAUUUGCAUUCUUCUAAUACUGAUGGUAGCUCUGUGUUGAUUUCCCAUAUAUGCCUGCAUUCCGCUUGUUCUUGGGAGACUCGUAUCCUUGCCCUGUAUCCUGUCUCAGGACCUAUCCACCAAGUUCUACUAUCUUCUACUAGAGCAAAAAUUUUAUGGGUGAAGGAGUGAAUACCGUG
rnacentral:lncRNA from 1 species